AUUAAACUGAAGAGUUUGAUCCUGGCUCAGAUUGAACGCUGGCGGUAUGCUUAACACAUGCAAGUCGAACGGAAACGAUGGUAGCUUGCUACCAGGCGUCGAGUGGCGGACGGGUGAGUA
rnacentral:rRNA from 1 species